rnacentral:rRNA from 1 species
UACGUAGGGGGCAAGCGUUGUCCGGAAUCAUUGGGCGUAAAGCGCGUGUAGGCGGUUCGAUAAGUCUGCUGUGAAAGUCCAGGGCUCAACCCUGGAAAGCCGGUGGAUACUGUCGGGCUAGAGUCCGGAAGAGGCGAGUGGAAUUCCUGGUGUAGCGGUGAAAUGCGCAGAUAUCAGGAGGAACACCAAUUGCGAAGGCAGCUCGCUGGGACGUUACUGACGCUGAGACGCGAAAGCGUGGGGAGCAAACAGG